rnacentral:rRNA from 1 species
GAUGAACGCUGGCGGCGUGCCUAAUACAUGCAAGUCGAACGAAACUUCUUUAUCGCCGAGUGCUUGCACUCACCGAUAAAGAGUUGAGCGGCGAACGGGUGAGUAACACGUGGGCAACCUGCCCAAAAGAGGGGGAUAACACUUGGAAACAGGUGCUAAUACCGCAUAACCAUAGUUACCGCAUGGUAACUAUGUAAAAGGUGGCUAUACUACCGCUUUUGGAUGGGCCCGCGGCGCAUUAGCUAGUUGGUAGGGUAAAGGCUUACCAAGGCAAUGAUGCGUAGCCGAAUUGAGAGGUUGAUCGGCCACAUUGGGACUGAGACACGGCCCAAACUCCUACGGGAGGCAGCAGUAGGGAAUCUUCCACAAUGGGCGAAAGCCUGAUGGAGCAACGCCGCGUGGGUGAAGAAGGUCUUCGGAUCGUAAAACCCUGUUGUUAGAGAAGAAAGUGCGUGAGAGUAACUGUUCACGUUUCGACGGUAUCUAACCAGAAAGCCACGGCUAACUACGUG